UGCUCAACAACUCCUAUCCCUACCUCCUCGUGGUACUGGCCGGGGUACGAGUAACCUUAGGGAAGAUCGGGUAACCAAUCCCGGUGAGAACUCAGGCCGUUUGCGGACAGGGAAAG
rnacentral:ribozyme from 1 species